rnacentral:rRNA from 1 species
GUCUAAGGCCAUGCCCCACGGAACAUGGCUGAUCUUCGAAGCUAAGCAGGGUUGGGCCUGGUUAAUACUUGAAUGGGAGACUAUCCAGGAAGACCAGGUGCUGUAGGUU